GCAGCUUGUGGGGUGCCCUGGGGCCUCCCAGAGCAGGUGGCACUCCUGGUAGGUGAGGCUCUGUGGCCCUACAGGGCCACCGCAAUGGCGGGUGGUAAAUAACCCCACAGCAAGGGGCAGUGUCCCACACGUGCUGUGGGCUGUGGCAGCCCUGCUGAUCUUGGUGUGCUCCCUGGCGUGCCUGCGUGAGGCCUGGUGUGCGCUCACCUAGGCUGGCGGCUCUGCUCUCAUACUCCCGCGGACCUAUCCCACGGGGACAGGGAUGGGUGAGUCAGAGGCACGAGAGGAAGCAGUCCUGGUGCAUGAGCCCAUUGGAAGCCGCUGCGCGUUCUGGGUCUGCUCGUAUCCCGUCGGUCCAGCACCCAGGUGGGAGUGGGGCUGAGAGCUACUGGGCACGGGGUAGCCUGAAGGACCAUCUGCCCCCGGGGUGGAGCCAGGACUGGAGCUGAGGGCUCUGGCAGUGGUUGCCCCCUCACCUUUGCCCUCCUGGAGCCUGGCCCAAGGUCACCCAGGAGCCGGUGGCUGAGCUGGACUGGGUACAGCCUGUCUGACUCGGAAGCCCAGGCUGGAGGGAAGACACAUUUCUUUUGAGUCUCGGGUCCCCCCUCGCCCCUCCCGUGCCACAGCCACCCUGGAGGCUGGAGGACUGGCCAGCUUCAGGGACAGGGAGGGAGAGGCCUCACGCUUCUCAGAGGACGGCUGUCCGUGGUCCACAUGGCACCGCGGGCUCGCCGAUGCGCCUGGCAGGUCCUCUGGGGGAACAGCCCUGCUUCCUGCUUGGCCACCAACCUGCCUGUGACUUGCGGUACCUUCCUGAUCCCGCGGGUCUUCUGUUCUCACCUCGCCAGGGGGAUGGACUCAGAGGUUUGUUUGUUUGUUUUUUCUUUUUAGGGCCGCACCUGCGACACAUGGAAAUUCCCAGGCGAGGGGUUGAAUCUGAGCUGUAGCUGCUGGCCUGCGCCACGGCCAAGCAAUGCAGGGUCCAGGCCGUGUCUGCGACCGACACCACCGCUCCUAGGAACACUGGAUCCUUAACCCACUGAGCAGUUUGUUACUGCUGAGCCACAGUGGGAGCUCCCUGGACUCAGUGAUUUGUAAAGGAACUUCCAGCCCAGGGCCAGGGGUCAAGGGGUCGCAAGGGGAGAGAGAGAUAUUAAGGGCGAGGGUGAACCAUCAAGACAGAGACAGAGAUGGGGGGAGUCUUGGAGGCAGGCCUAGCCCCUUUCUGAUAUUCGUCUCUUUCCGGAAGCUUCUGCAGGCCCCUUGCUGCGGGUGGUGGGUGCAGAGGUGUGUAUCUCCCUCUGUGACUCUGGUGACCCUGCCAUUUGCCUGUCAUCUGGCCUGCUGGGCAGGUCCAUGGGUAGAAGGGCCCGUGGGCCUCCCUCCGUGGCUGUACCUGGCCCCCCUUCCCUGCCUGGGGGAUGGUUCCUGGUAGGGCAGGAGAGUCACCAGAGGACCGUGGAAAUCUAAGCUGUUUCUCAGGAGCAGAGUAGCAGCUGCGUCGGCUCCUCGGCCUGUGGUCAGAGGGGCAGAGACGCUGGGGAACUUUAAUCAAGGCCCUGCUGUGUGCCGGGUACUGGGUGAAGUGCGUUUCCCCGCCUUGGUCUUAUGGUGGAACCUCUGGGCUCAGCUGUGGUGUGGACGCUGAGAGUCGGGGUCCACACAGAGUCCUCCGAGGGUGUGUGGGGUAGUGUGUUCAUUUAUUCACUCCCUCACUCACUCAUUCAUUCAGCGCCGCAUGCUCAGCUGUUCUGAAGACACCCCCCCGCCCUGCCAGCCCUGUCCUGCAGGGUCUGGGGGCAGCGAGGGCUGGAAUUCCAGGUCCGCUUGGAAGUGGGCCAGGGGCUGGCACCACAGAGAUGGUGGCGUGGUCAUGCCCUCAGACCGAGGCCCUCACAAAGCCGUGUAAACCCGAUGCUUCCUCUGGCCAGCAGGACAAGACGCCGAAGCUGCUGGCAGAGGAUGAGACGCCAGGCCACAGGGACCUGGCUUCCUAGGGCCCUUCUGGGACCCACGGUGAACCAGCUCUGCUGGGGUUCCUGAGUGACUUGUUGGGAUGGCUUUGGUUGUGGGGUGGAGGGGGGGGCAGAGUAAACACACGGCCGCCCUGUGGGGAUGCGCCUGAGCGUGCAGGCCCACUCUCAUGCCCUUGGUAUCCUUGGGGUGGGUUGCCGGGGUGGGCAUGGGCAGCUUGGGUAGCCCAGGAGUCCACGAUUCAGGAAUUGGGCUCUAGGGGCUGCUCCCCAAGGCCCCAGGCCUGCCACUGGGCCCUGCUGGGGGUAGGUGCUCAGCAGGUGAAGCCUGCGCCAGACAGGGAGACCUCGGGGGAGGGCCUGGGAGCCCUGGGCGGGGGGUGGGUGGGAGGGAGAGGCCAGAUCCUUGUUCUAGAGAGGAUUUUGAGAGCUGCAGGCUGGGAAGUGCUCCGGCAGGUGUGUGUUUGCUGGGACAGAGGGCCCCAACCGCCUUCCCUCACCCCACUUCCUCUCUCCCUUGCCCUCCUCCCUGACGCCCCCGCAUCCCCUCCACACCUGCCCCUCUGUCCCUCGGUCCUCCACCCCUAUGCCGGUGUGCUCCCCAGGGGCCAGCUCUGUGGGUUAGAAGAUGCUGACAGCAAUGCCCUUCCCAGCAAGAACUUCUGUGUCCACCACGCGCCCAGCUGACGAUGAGGGGGUGGACUGGGGGAGAUGGAAUCCACCCCUCGCCCUCUGACGCCUUGCGCCCAGAGCCCGGGCCAGCCCAUGGGCCUGUCCGGAGGUCAGGCUGGAGGUUUCGGACAUGUCCUGGGCAGCCCAGCCACCCACUGACCGGGAGGCACUGGUCACCUCCCCAGACCCUGGUGUCCUGCUGGGGCCAGGCCCUCCUGAUGGGCAGCCCCGCCUGGCUGGUGGUGGCCCCGGAGGGAUUCUCGGGGUACCUCUGUCCUCAAGAAGGGCUCUUUGGAGAGGAAAAAACACAUUUCAACACCUCCAGAUUCUGAAAAUGGAUUUCUCCCAGGGAAACAGAGACUCCGAGCCCGCUCCCUUCCCUGAGAGAGAGCCAGGAAAACAGCGGGGGAGCAGGGGCGGGGGAGGGGCGGGAGCCUCCGCGAGGGACGAGGAUCCUGGGAACAGACGCGGAGCCAGAGAGAGCUGGAUGCAAAUCCUGCGGGCCAGCGACGCUGCGUGACCCGAGCAUGGGACUUGCCCUCUCUGGCCUCUGCCUUUCGGUUCAGUGGGGUCCUUCUCGCCCCGCCUUCCAAGGGAUGCUUUGAGGAUGCGACGUGGAGAAAGCAGUUCUUCAUUUUCAGGCCUUUUUCAGGAUGAACAGCCUCCCUGAGUCCAGGACGCCAGUGUCCGAAGAUUUCUGAAGGUUGUUGCAUUGAACCCAGGAAGGCUCCAGAGUGCCGGGGACUCUGGAGCCGUGCUUGAAAAUCUGCUGUCCUCUCAGGCUGCUGCCCUGCUGCUCUGCCCGCCGCUCCUGAGUCCCGUCCAAACUGCCUGGCCUGGCCUUCCAGGCCUCCAAGUGGGGCCUCCGCUUCCCUCUUCAGCUCAUCUCCCGCCCCAGCCCGGCCCUGACCCAGUGCACCGGCCACGGAAGCAUCGCAGCCUCGACUCCACGAACGCCAGGCCUGCGAACCGGGACCAUCACCGCUCCAGGAGGCGCCAAUCAAGGCCACUCGGCCGGACUCCGUGUCUGGACCUGGGCCCUGUCUUCUGCCUCCGAGUUCCCGCGCUUCCCGACUAGCCGCGGUUUCUGCACGCGCGCUUCCUCCGCUGGUACCACCCCCUCCCUUUCUGGAACUCCUUCCAGCUCAUCGUCCCAAACCCUAGCUGUCCUUCAAGGCCUGGCCCAGACGUGGCCUCCUGGACCUCCCCCUCCCCCCUGUAGUGUGUUUUGCCUUUUAUUUGUGACCUUGGGUCGCCGAGUUCCCGGGAGGGAGGGGCGAUGGGGGUCUACCGGCAGAGACGGCUAGUGGUCCCCCAGUACUCACUCUCCUCUUCCGAAAGUAAAAGAAGCUCCAAA
rnacentral:lncRNA from 1 species